GGCCGAUUAGCUCAGUCGGUUAGAGCAUGGUACUGAUAAUACCAAGGUUGGAGGUUUGAUUCCCAUUUGGUCC
rnacentral:tRNA from 1 species